CGCCAUGAGCAAAGUCUGCGGCCCCUCACUCGGCGCGGCUCCGGGAACACUGGGGCGGGGGUGGGUGAUUCAGUCCCCCACCCCCGGGUGUCCUGACUCCCUGGUGGCCCUGGGCUGACAGCUCCACACCUUGGGAGGCCGCACCCCCACCUGCCGCAUUUCCUCGUUCUGAGUCACCCUUGCUCAGAACGCUUGACUUUGGGACUUCCUGUCCGCACUCGCGGCCCCUAACCUGCCCCGGGAGCCCGGGAGUGCGGCUUGGGAAGGAGGGAAAGGAGUGUGUGAGCAGGGAUUGGCCCGAACCUAUCUCCACGCUCUCCCCCGGGACUGGAGGUGAAGGGGGGCGUGGAGAAAAUCUCAGGGAACAGGGGCUUCGACAGGGGGCUCCCGCCCGCCCGAGCCCCCUCCCCAAAAUGCGAGGCCUGCACAGUAUGCCUUCUCCGCAAAACCUCGGCAAGCGGGUUAGUGAAUUCAGGUCACUAAGAAGCUGAGCCCGCGGAAAGCUGCCCAAACACCCCCUUCUCUAGGGGACUCCCCACGCCCCCCGCCGGGACGCGUUCCCGAAGUCGCCGCCUGGACUGCAACCGCGUGGCCUGCGCCGCGUCCUCUUCUCCGCAGCCUCCGAGGCCCGUGCGACCAAGCUGAAACCGCUUAUUCUCCGGAGCCCCUAUGACCCCGGGUGGGGGCCAGGGCUCGCCUCGAUCGCAGCCCGUGCGCCCUCCGGACUCCAGUUCGCCGGGACUGGGCGACACCAGAAGCGGCUAGUGUGAGUGAAACAAACGGGAAAUUUGCUCUGGCCCGCCUGCCCAGCCACCCACGGCUGCCUGUUGGCCAAUCACCAUUUGACCAGUCCAGGAAGAGCAACUGUGGCAGGCCUGAUUUCCUGGGAGGCCCCAGACUCCCUUUGCCUACCUCUUCCUCUCUGACCCCAUCCUCGCUUUGAUGCCCGGGACCUGCUACCCAGAAACAACGUGAGGCUCAGAGAGAAGAAAUGACUAAAAUUACACAGCUGGUACAUGGCAGAGGUGGAACUAAAAAGUUAAGUGUGUCUACCCCAGAGCCGAGUAGACCUGCUCUUUUUUGAACACUUCCUGGACUUUCAUGCCUUUGUCCCAGCUGUGCCCUCUCCCUGGAUGCCCCUUCCAUCUGGGCAGCUCCUACUAGACCUGCCUUGGCAUACAUAACACAGGAGAACGGAUUGCCAAAGGGUAGGAGAGUGCCUGGUCUAUAGUGUGCGCCCAACACAGAUUUGGUGAAUGAAUGAACACUGGGUCCAGCAGACCUGGAUUCUUCCAUGUAACCCACUGUGUGGCCUUGGUGGAGCCAUGCGGGUGCAAUAAUCCUGGUUUCCACCCUUCAGGGCUGCUGCUGGGACUCAGUGAGAUCAUCAUGUAUCUAAUGCCCUUUGCUCAGUGCUGGGCACACAGUCAAUGCGCAUUGAAUCUUAGCUAUUGCUACCUUUACAAUCAAUCAAAAGUCACUUCUGAAGAAUAGACAGGGCUCCCCCAGGCCAAAUAAAUAAUUCCUCCCGGGACAAACCCCAGCUCUCACUCCCUCCUCUUUAGGCAGGGGGCUCCCUGAAGGACAGAGACCCGGUUUUAUUCCAUCUUGCCGUCCCCCAUGGUGCCGGGCAUACAGUGGUGCCCAGUAAACGUGUGUGUUGCACAAACAUGCGGUAACUAGGGCCCCAUCUUUUUCAAAAGAACACACUCCCCAGGUGCAGCCGCAAAGAGAGACUGUUCAGCUGUUCAGGUGAGGUUUUGGGGUGAAACUCGUCUGAAUAAUAGUUUUACUGAACACAGCCUCACCCCCAACAAGGAGGCAAUUUGAGGUGGGGGUGGGGAGACUUAAAUGUGGGCUCCCGGGUUUUAAAGGGGGUAGCGCGGGAGGAAGCCCCCCAAUAAUUGCGGGGCUUCCCCCACCCCCAGAGCUGGAUUAGAGGCUGCGCCACUUCCUUUGGGGCUCGCUCGCGCUUCCUGGGAGCCUUUGAUGUGGGUUCUUGGUAGAUCCUGCCCGCGGGGCCUGGAUGCGGGCGGAGCCUCCGGGCAGGGCGGGGCCUCAGCCUGGGUCCGCACUGGGGAGGCGGCCACCCGGUAGCUUGGGCGGGUUCCGCCCACCUCCCGCCUGUAUUUACAGCCCCCUUCCAACAUCCCCGACUCCCUGAGGGCGCCCCUCAUUCUGCUCGGCCUUGCCUUCCCCAUUCGGCCACAUCCUCCUCUCUCCCAACUCAGCUUCGACCCCCAAAGCCUUUCCCUAACCAUCGGAACCACAGGCUUUUCUCCGGCCUCUGAGUGCCAGUCUUCAACUAGGUGUCUUUUAAAAAAUCAAAAAGCAUCUCAUCCUACGGGAUGUGUGUGAAAAAAUAAAAAUAAAAUAAAGAAAAAGGGGGCCGGGCGCGGGAGCUCACGCCUGU
rnacentral:lncRNA from 1 species